rnacentral:tRNA from 1 species
CAAGUUAGAGUUAAUUAUAAUAUUUUAGUUACAUUAAAAAGAUAAUCUUAAAGAUUUAACUUGA